ACGCCCCCGAGCCCCCCCAAGCUCCGCGCCUCCCUCCCCUCCGUCCAGAUUCUCCGCUCCCGGCCUCUACUGCCCGCUCGCAACCACACCCCCGUGGCUAGGGUUUCGGGCAGUGCUUCGCCGGCCCGUCUCCGGCGGCCCCAGAUGCAGAUGGAGCACGCCAUGGGAUUUCCCCAUCCACCACGCUCGCUGCCGUCAAGGGCAGGAAGGAACCCUAGCCAGCAGCACCUCCUCACCUCGGAUGAUGCCUCUGCUGCACCAAGAUAGGGCCAGCAAUCCCCAUCUGCUCUCUAUCUCUCCCAUUAGCACAAGUCCAUUUUUUAAACAAAAUUCUGCUACUGCGCCAAAUAGUCCAUGAACAGAUAUAUUUUUUAUUUGUGAACUGGUAUCCUUCAAAACAUAAAUAGUGUAUAUAUGUGAUAUUUUCAUUUUUGUUCCCUUCUCAUUUUUGUGCUUUUAUUUGCAAGCUCAUAAAAUAGUUACAGUAAAAAUGCCAGUGUGUGCGAGGUCACUAUUGACAAGUCAUUGUAGUGCUACUACUGCAUUAAUCUUAGCUGUGAAGCUAUGGUCUGUUCUUUGGUACAACAAUGAAAUGUUAAUAUGUUAUUCUCCUUUUAUGCUUUGUGUCAGUGCACUGUGGUAUGACGCCAACACUUAUUUGGCACCUACAUUGCAUCGACAAUUUGUCAGCUUACAGUUUGUACCAUCGAGAAUUUUCACGCUUUACACCUGCAGCUAUAUCGCUAUACUAUAAAUAUGUUUAGAUGUCUAAAAUGGUCUUGGUACUGAACCUGACUGAUAAUGUAUUUGGUGUAUCUUUUCUGUAGAAUUAGUACCAGAGUUCUAUUUGUAUUAUUAAUUGUGUAGAGCUGAUAAUUAGACCAUAGAGUCGCUGUUGAUUUGGUUUAUUCCUUGGCAGAUCAUUUAAGUACUUUAUCUUAUUACAAAAACUGAACGAAAAUAUAGCAGCAAUACAUUUCAUGACAUAGUGUUAUCCGUGCAAGAAAAUUGCUUGAUUGAUUAUUAAUAAAUGUAAGCAAUCUAUCAUGUAGGUUUUGUUCGAUCCUACACUUAAAGAAAAUCAUACUGAAGAUCUGAGCUUAAGUGUUCCAACAGCUGAAGCACCAGCUCAAGAUGAAGGGAAUCUCUUAAUAUGAUUGUAGAUCCAUUCCCGUAAAGUGCAGUUAGAAUAUGGAAUCCACCUCGAACUCGGUUUAAAAAACAGAAAGCAUAUGGAAUUUUGCUCUAUCAGGUAGCAAUUUGGUUGUUCAAUCCAUCCAUAGUUACAUUUGAAGAUAUAUUGUUGAAUUUCCUUAUUUUGUGAAUACAAGUCUGAACUUUUAGGACAUCUGGCACAUGAGUUUGAACCAUCCAAUUAUAGUGCUACUAAUUUUGGGUCACUACAUCAUGCAAUACUAUGGAUGCUGUUUAACAUGGCAAAGUUGGAUUUUUUUUUAUUCUUUUUUCAGAUUAGAAUCACUUUAGCAAUGCCAUAUAGAUAAUACAAGAUGUGGCAAAGUGUUGCAUUCAAUAGAGAUUACAAUGAUAAAUUGGUGAAAUUAGUUUGCUCUCUGAUCUCUGUUAGCUUUAACUCGCUAGGAAGCCAUGUAGUCCUAUUUUUAGUACUAGGAGGAGAACGUAUAUUAAAUAUAUGCCAUCCAGGGAAUUGAUCUCUGUUGUGCUGGGGCAAACUAAGCCAGAGCAAGCACUUACUCAAGGCAAGGAGCAGUGCUCGUACUUGCUCAUGGUUGAGGUAGAUUCAGGUUAAAUUUUAUGUGUUGAUUCCCUUCUCUUUCACAUGUCUAGGUCUUUGUGCCUGAUCAAGCUGUUCUUUGACAAGUAUUAUCUUUGAGUGAUGCCAUGUUGGUAAUAAAAUACUAUAUAACUCACAUUUCUUAUAUGUUCCUUUUUCAUUUUUGUCCUUUCAUUUGAAAGCUCAUAUGGUCAAUUUUGGAGGCGACUACAUGUAUAUACUGCUGAUGUUACAUGUAAACAAAUUCGAUGCUUUUAUGCAUAUGACCGUGCACAUCACCGAACCCUUUCCAUUCUAUUGCAAGGUCAAAUAGUUUUUCGUGUUCUAACUCUUUGGGAUAGUCUGCAGUUAUUUGGUUCAUCGUCGCGCCUCAAGUUUCCAACAGCGCCGUGGCUGUACACCGUCGACUUCGCCGGAAAUCCUUCUGCACAUACUCUACUGUCCGCCGAAACUUUGUCUGACCUGAGUUAUUUGGCUCAUCUUCACGCCUCAAGUUUCCGACAGCGCCGUGGCUGUACACCGCCGACUUCGCCGGAAAUCUGUCUGCACAUACUCUACUAUCCGCCGAAACUUCGUCUGACCUGAGCUGAUGGGGAUGAGAUGUGACCCCGCUGCUGGGCGUCGCAAAUGCCACUGCUCCAAUGUGUGCCCCAGCUUCGGUGAUGUACGGGCGAGGCAACACGAUUUGGAGCAGUGACCCUCCUUCCAAGAAAUCAAGUUUUUUCGUUCAGAUUUUAGAGCUCGAGUUUCAGCUUAGUUCAAGGAUAGAAAAGCAUAGUCCUCAUGGAUUCAACAAGGAAGACCAUUAGCCGCCACCUUUUCAGAAUUGGAUGGUGUGGUGCACCUUCAUCCUGCUGUCCAAUUCCUUAGCUUAUUUGCUUUAACUGUACUACAGUUAUAUAGCAGGAUAAGGAUCCAAUCUUGUGAUGCCUCUCCAUUUGCACCAUCGUCAAAAGUUGCACAUGAGUUGAUUCAGACUUUCAGAAUUCAUAGAACACCUAGAGUUAUUUUAUUUCCACAAAUAUCACCAUGUUUUGCUAUUGAUGUAAUGCUAUAUUCCUUGACUGAAAUCAAACCCUUUAGUUGCUACUGUGGUGCUUUUA